AUAGCUCAGUGGUAGAGUGCAUGCCUAGCAUGCACAAGGUCCUGGGUUCAAUCCCCAGU
rnacentral:tRNA from 1 species